GAAACUUACACAAGGUGCUAUGAAAAAUGCUUCAGUUGUUCAAUAUACUUUUAUAAGCACACACCUCCAGCUUAGUACAAACAUUUUUUCUAAAAAAAAAAAAAAAAGGCUACAAAAUGUAUUUUUGUGUUUCACAAACUCUAAUAUUACACUUUAACACUUAUUCUUGAAUUCAACUACUAUCUACUGAUUACUCGUAUAAAAGUAAAUUCUGAGGCCUUUCCUUCAAAGGCGACAGCUUCAACACUACAUCUUGAAUAGCGCGGCAAAGUACCUCCAGAGUGGAGGCAUCCAUCUCUCUGGCCAGGACGAAGGCUCCCAUCAAGAGACGUUAGAGUCCCUACAUUGCAGCUGUAAAGGGAUAUAUCAUCCUUGAGCUCUAGCUCCCGGCGCAAGGUGAUGGCAUCAACGCACGCUAAUGCCGAGGCAAUGGCCUUGUCUCUGGGGAUGUGGCUUCUGUUAUUUCCUGGCUUUUGUUCCAGAGGAGCCAAGCACUCCCGACUAUGCUGGACACGUACUCUGAGCGCCACUGCGACUUUGGAACCCAUAAACCAUGGCAUGGAAUCCCUGCCAAAAUUUUGCCGACCUCCUCCAAAAGUGCCCCUGGAAGUAAGAGCCUGGGCUUUGGCACAAGUUCGAAGAGUUGGUGGGAAGAGGCUGGGGAACAGUUGCCUGAUCCACACUGUUCUGAUCGGGAAGGAUAACUCUUGGCUCUGAAGAGAGUACCCGCCGCUCCUUGUUGGUGACGACGCGAUCUAUGUCCAGCGUCUUGAGCUGCGGCAGAAUGAGCAGUACGCUGGAUCUAUAGCUAUCGCCGGCUGCUACCGAACACGGAUUUUCUGCGAGGAUAAGAGAGGUCAGGGAUCUGGCAUCCUUUCUGAUACUGAAGUUCUUGGAGGUCUGCUAUCUGGUUCUUUCUUAAAGAAAGAUGAUUGAGAUGAACGCAAUUCUUGAGAGAUUUUAGCAUAACUCCUGAUGUGAAAUAUUUUAUUACCAGGACAAAAUUAUAUGUUGAAGGCAAAACCCAA